rnacentral:rRNA from 1 species
UACGUAGGGUGCGAGCGUUGUCCGGAAUUAUUGGGCGUAAAGGGCUCGUAGGCGGUCUGUCGCGUCGGGAGUGAAAACUCAGGGCUUAACCCUGAGCCUGCUUCCGAUACGGGCAGACUAGAGGUAUGCAGGGGAGAACGGAAUUCCUGGUGUAGCGGUGAAAUGCGCAGAUAUCAGGAGGAACACCGGUGGCGAAGGCGGUCUCUGGGCAUUACCUGACGCUGAGGAGCGAAAGUGUGGGAGGCGAACAGG